rnacentral:rRNA from 1 species
UACGGGAGGAGCAGUGGGGAAUAUUGCACAAUGGGCGCAAGCCUGAUGCAGCCAUGCCGCGUGUAUGAAGAAGGCCUUCGGGUUGUAAAGUACUUUCAGUCGUGAGGAAGGUGUUAAGGUUAAUAACCUUAGCAAUUGACGUUAGCGACAGAAGAAGCACCGGCUAACUCCGUGCCGGCAGCCGCGGUAAUACGGAGGGUGCGAGCGUUAAUCGGGAAUUACUGGGCGUAAAGGGCACGCAGGCGGUUAAUUAAGUUGGAUGUGAAAUCCCCGGGCUUAACCUGGGAAUGGCAUUCAAGACUGGUUAGCUAGAGUCUUGUAGAGGGGGUAGAAUUCCGAUGUGUAGCGGUGAAAUGCGUAGAGAUGUGGAGGAAUACCGGUGGCGAAGGCGGCCCCUGGACAAAGACUGACGCUCAUGUGCGAAAGCGUGGGGAGCAAACAGGGACUUAGAUACC